UACGUAGGGUGCGAGCGUUGUCCGGAAUUAUUGGGCGUAAAGAGCUCGUAGGCGGUCUGUCGCGUCUGCUGUGAAAACUCGGGGCUUAACCCUGAGCUUGCAGUGGGUACGGGCAGACUAGAGUGCGGUAGGGGAGACUGGAAUUCCUGGUGUAGCGGUGAAAUGCGCAGAUAUCAGGAGGAACACCGGUGGCGAAGGCGGGUUGCUGGGCCGACACUGACGCUGAUGCGCGAAAGCCAGGGGAGCGAACGGG
rnacentral:rRNA from 1 species